GGAGGGAUGGCUGAGUGGUUGAAGGCACCUGUCUUGAAAACAGGAGACUGUGAAAGCGGUCCGCGAGUUCGAAUCUCGCUCCCUCCGCCA
rnacentral:tRNA from 1 species